ensembl:lncRNA
CUGGGGAUGAGUGGGGGUCCUCCAGAGCCAUAGAGUUGUGGCACUUGAGGGGAUAGAGUGGACACAGGGGUUGUUGGGGGGACUGGGUAGGCCUGGAGGACCUCCAGGGCCAUAGAGUUGUAGCGUAUGCGGGGCUAGAGUGGGCAUAAGGGUUGCUUGGAGGACUGGGGAGGGGUGGAGGUCCUCCAGAGCCAUAGAGUUGUGGCACUUGAGGGGCUAGAGUGGGCAUAAGGCUUGCUGGGAGGACUGGGUAGGCCUGGAGGUCCUCCAGAGCCAUAGAGUUCUAGCGUGUGUGGGGCUAGAGUGGGCAUAAGGGUUGCUUGGAGGGCUGGGGGUCCUCCAGGGUCAUAGAGUUGCGGGGUGGGUGGGGGGAGAGCGGGCGGUUUUGCGUUCGGAGGACUCACCAUUCACCUGCCCAUAGCCGGAAGUCCUCCAGAACCAUAGAGUUCUAGCGUGUGUGGGGCUAGAGUGGGCAUAAGGGUUGCUUGGAGGACUGGGUAGGCCUGGAGGUCCUCCAGAGCCAUGGAGUUAUAGGGUGUGUGGGGCUAGAGUGGGCAUAAGGGUUGCUUGGAGGGCUGGGUAGGCCUGGAGGUCCUCCAGAGCCAUAGAGUUGUGGCACUUGAGGGGCUAGAGUGGGCAUAAGGGUUGCUUGGAGGGCUGGGUAGGCCUUGAGGUCCUCCAGAGUCAUAAAGUUGGGGGAUAUGUGGGGAUAGAGUGGGCAUAAGGGUUGCUGGGAGGGUUGGCUAGGCCUGGAGGUCCUCCAGAGCCAUAGAGUUGCAGCACUUGAGGGGAUAGAGUGGCCACAGGGGUUGCUGGGGGGACUGGGGAGGAGUGGGGGUCCUCCAGAGCCAUAGAGUUGUGGUAUUUGAGAGGAUAGAGUGGACACAGGGGUUGCUUGGAGGGCUGGGUAGGCCUGGAGGUCCUCCAGAGCCAUAGAGUUCUAGCGUGUGUGGGGCUAGAGUGGGCAUAAGGGUUGCUUGGAGGGUUGGCUAGGCCUGGAGGUCCUCCAGAGUCAUAAAGUUGGGGGAUAUGUGGGGAUAGAGUGGGCAUAAGGGUUGCUUGGAGGACUGUGUAGGCCUGGAGGUCCUCCAGAGCCAUAGAGUUGUGGCAGUUGAGGGGAUAGAGUGGCCACAGGGGUUGCUUGGGGGACUGGGGAGGGGUGGGGACCUCCAGAGCCAUAGAGUUGGGGGAUAUGUGGGGAUAGAGUGGGCAUAAGGGUUGCUGGGAGGGCUGGCUAGGCCUGGAGGACCUCCAGAGUCAUAGAGUUGUGGCACUUGAGGGGAUAGAG